UAUCGAUAAAACGUUUAAAUAAUAUUAUACGGAAACGAAAAUUAUAGUCCAAACCCAAAUCAGUCCAAAAUUUACAAAUCUCUUAAAUCUCAAAUUAAAAAAAUAUCUAAAAUGAACACAAAACUUUAAUAACCGAGCUCACGUCGCACCGACCUGCUUAAGUCUAAAGAUUACCUGAAAUAUCAGUCAAACAAAAUAUGAGUUUUCGAACUCAAUGUGUAACACAUAACUUAACAGAUAAUAUAUAUAAGACAGAUUUUACAAAAACAAAAUUAUAUCAGAGCAAAACAGAUAUAGACAUGCUUUCCUACCCCAUCCGCUACACACCAUUUCCGACCAACCCUACACACCAUAUAGGGGAUGAAACACCCAUCCAACCCUACACACGACUUAGUGCCAUUAUGACACGUUUUAGAAUAUUUGCAGCUGUGCUGCCAGUAUAAUGGGCAAGAUAUCGUCUCUCAUAGAAACACUUCCUCCACAUAAUAUAAUCCAUUUAGCAUGCAUAUAUAAUCAGAACAUAAAUUAUACAUGCUACUUUUAUACAUGCAUGUCAUAAUAGAUAGCCUAUUACAAGGUUAACAUAUCAUACGUUAUCAAAAAUACACAUACAUAAAAUCAGAAGUAUACUAAUAAAUAACUAGAUCCCAUGUUUUAUAGAUUAUUUAAUCACAUACAGACUCCACGGAAGGCCCACAAUUGAUCGGAACGAUGUGUACAAAACUAGGGAAAUUUUUUGAAUUUUAGGGCUGCACGUGUGGCGCACACGGCCCAAAUAGACCAGUCCGUGUGUCACACAUGGUCCAACACAUAGCUUGUCACACGGCCGUGUGGUGUCGACAGUGUUGUUUUUUAAUUUUUGUCGUACACUGAUUUUCGGGUUUCUCAUUAUACACCUGAUUCGAUUUUGAUACAAAUGCAACCACGAGAUUCCCAAUACCUAAAAACAAUAGUCCAAUGACCAAUUUCAAUAAAAAAUUAUGAAACUCAAACAAGAAUUGUCCAUUAACAUAGCCUCUUAAUAGCAAACAACGCAUUCGUACACUUACCUUCAACACGCAACACUUAAAUCGCUGGAGGAACACCACUCAACUCACGGUUCUCCCCUAAUCGAGCAUUAAAACGAAUAACACAAUUAAUAAACCUUUCCAUUCUAAAGCAUAACUAAAACUCCCAACUUACUAAAAUCCCAAAAAGAAAAUACCUGACGAAAAGUGAUAAAUACUCCCAACACCGAACACAAAAUGAAUAUUAAAGAACCGAAGAAACAAAGUCAUAAAUGGGUGGAAAAAUUAUAACAAAAAUGGAUAGAACGGCGGCCAGGAUACAAAGGAGAAAAAAUAAAGAAUAGAAACAAUAGGAAGAAUGAAAGAACCAAGAAAAUCAUAUCACCAAGCAAGGAAAAAUUGAUGGUGGCGUGACUUGGGGAAAAAACAAAGAAAAGAAACACGUG
rnacentral:lncRNA from 1 species